rnacentral:sRNA from 1 species
GACACCGUCUCGAACUGUCGCAAUCCAAUGCGGCGUUCCCGCAAGGGAUAGAGCCGGUGUUUUGU